rnacentral:rRNA from 1 species
UACGGGGGGAGCAAGCGUUGUUCGGAGUUACUGGGCGUAAAGGGUGUGUAGGCGGUUGUUUAAGUUUGGUGUGAAAUCUCCCGGCUUAACCGGGAGGGUGCGGUGAAUACUGAGGGACUAGAGUACGGGAGAGGAAAGUGGAAUUCCUGGUGUAGCGGUGAAAUGCGUAGAUAUCAGGAGGAACACCGGUGGUGUAGACGGCUUUCUGGACCGUAACUGACGCUGAGACACGAAAGCGUGGGUAGCAAACAGG